rnacentral:rRNA from 1 species
UACGUAGGAGACGAGCGUUGUUCGGAUUCAUUGGGCGUAAAGGGUGCGUAGGUGGCGCGGUAAGUCGGGUGUGAAAUCUCGGAGCCUAACUCCGAAAUUGCAUUCGAUACUGCCGUGCUCGAGGACUGGAGAGGAGACUGGAAUUCAUGGUGUAGCAGUGAAAUGCGUAGAGAUCAUGAGGAAGACCAGUGGCGAAGGCGGGUCUCUGGACAGUUCCUGACACUGAGGCACGAAGGCCAGGGGAGCAAACGGG